UAGGGAAUCUUCCGCAAUGGACGCAAGUCUGACGGAGCAACGCCGCGUGAGUGAAGAAGGAUUUCGGUUCGUAAAACUCUGUUGUUAGAGAAGAACAGCGCAUAGAGUAACUGUUAUGCGUGUGACGGUAUCUAACCAGAAAGCCACGGCUAACUACGUGCCAGCAGCCGCGGUAAUACGUAGGUGGCAAGCGUUGUCCGGAUUUAUUGGGCGUAAAGCGAGCGCAGGCGGUCAAUUAAGUCUGAUGUGAAAGCCCCCGGCUCAACCGGGGAGGGUCAUUGGAAACUGGUUGACUUGAGUGCAGAAGAGGAGAGUGGAAUUCCAUGUGUAGCGGUGAAAUGCGUAGAUAUAUGGAGGAACACCAGUGGCGAAGGCGACUCUCUGGUCUGUAACUGACGUUGAGGCUCGAAAGCGUGGGUAGCAAACAGG
rnacentral:rRNA from 1 species